rnacentral:rRNA from 1 species
GCUAAUACCGCAUAUUCUGUGAGCAGGAAAGCAGGGGAUCGCAAGACCUUGCGCUGAUUGAGCGGCCGAUAUCAGAUUAGCUAGUUGGUGAGGUAAAGGCUCACCAAGGCGACGAUCUGUAGCGGGGUCUGAGAGGAUGAUCCGCCACACUGGAACUGAGACACGGUCCAGACUCCUACGGGAGGCAGCAGUGGGGGAAUUUUGGACAAUGGGGGCAACCCUGAUCCAGCCAUGCCGCGUGAGUGAAGAAGGCCUUCGGGUUGUAAAGCUCUUUCGGCCGGGAAGAAAUCGUAUGGGCUAAUACCCUGUGCGGAUGACGGUACCGGCAUAAGAAGCACCGGCUAACUACGUG